rnacentral:lncRNA from 1 species
UUUAAUUUCAAACAUGUCUAAGGCUAAAAUGCUUGCAGUUUUCAUGGGUUUUGUUCUUUUGGGCUACCUUAGCAACUCUUUGGCUCAUGCUUCAAAUGCUGAUGAGCCAAAUGCUUUGUCAACCUCCAUCCCGAGCACCCAAGGGGGUGUUCACGUCCCAUUAGAAGAACCACUUGGCGGAUUGCCACCUAGAAGAUUGUUGGAAUGUUGUGGAUGUCAGGGCAGAUCUUGUCAAUUUUGCUGCAAGACAAAGAAUUGAAACAUGGGAUCUUAAUAUUGUUUUUCGCAAUUGGUAUUUUGUUUUCAUCCUGUCAAAUGUUGUGUUUGCUAAAAUAAUGUAUCAAUGAACUUUGAUACCGUAGUGUCACCUACACGUCAUUUGUAAACCUCCUUUUCCUUUUAUGCAUCUACUCGUGUAAUCUCAGUUUUCUGUUACGUGUGCCAUCUAAGGAAUAUAAAAUAUUUUCUCCUUAUGAUCAUUGGAUUUUUUCAGAAAUUUUCGGCUAAGCAAUCCUUCCUUUUUGAGAAUUUAUGACUAUAAAAUUAAUGCUCACUUUGGGCGUCUUUAUAAAUAUAAGCCACACAGUAAGUACAAUCUACUUAGGAUUUCAAGGAAGCGACAAACAGUAUUAAUUCACUCUUAGAUACGACUACAAAAUUGAAAUAGGUGAGGUUAUUACCAAUCAUUUUUAUCAACAAAAGCAAUAUAACGAUAAAAAAACAAAAAGUAUAAUCACAAGGUGGCAUUUUCGAGAGAAUAGAAAUUUAGAUCCUAACUCGAAAUUCAAUUAUGUAUUUGUUAAGACUUGGAAUCCAUCUUAAUAAGGUCAAUCUUAUUAAGAGGAGUGGCCCAAGAUCUUUUUAAAUUGGUCAAUAUUUCGGUAUUUUACCGAUGUGAGAUUAUUUUCCCUUAACAUGCCCCCACAAGAUGGUGGCUCAUUUUUUGAGCAGACCAUCUUGAAAUCCAUGUGCUCAUUUUUUAGACUUAAUCGGAUCGAAUAGCUCGUUGGAGUAUACUGGGCUUUGAUACCAUGUUAAGACUUGAAGUCCAUCUUAAUAAGGUCAACCUUGUUAAGAGGAGUGAUCCAAGAUCUUUUUAAAUUGGUCAAUAUUUCAGUAUUUUACCGAUGUGGGAUUAUUUUCCUUUAACAUUGAUAAAUGUUUUUAUUAAUAGCAUGUACAAGAUGUAAGACGCAUCACCAAAGUAUGCUACAAAAUUCUUUUGAAAAUAUAUAAUAUAAUUAACUCUUAAUAGGAAAAUUUGUUUUUCCCUUUUUCAUUUAAAAAACGUUUUUAAAAGGAAAGGAAUAGUUAAUUGAAACAAUUGAAUAUCUUGCAAUCAAGUCUCCAAUUGUGACUGUAUCAAUUGAUUGAUGAUUGAUCAAAUAAGAAAAAAAAUUAAUUUAUUUUAAUAGUUAGUCAUGUUUAAGUGAUGAAAUAAGAUGGCACACAUACAAGCGCAACCAUUGUGCUCUAGCUAGUACUCAUGGACAGACCGUUGGCAUCAAGCAACAAUAUCAUGUGUAGGUGGUUAGCAAUGAUACCAGCAAAAGUCGAAAAUAAUCAUUAAAAUAAACACACACUCCAUUUUGAUAUCCUAUUAAGUCAUAUUUAAUAGAUUUUUUAGGGGAAAAUAUACCACUGGGAUCUUCAACUUAUUUUUCAAAUAGCAAGUUAGUCAUGAACCUUUACAAAGAAGCAAGUCCCAACUUUUAACUUAUAAUUUUACAAUAAUUCAAAUUUACAUCUUCUUGAGGACAUGAAAACAUGUUUUCAAUUCAAAUUUUUAAUAGUUAUGAGAAAAAUCCAACUUCAUAAAAGGCAAUGAUCCAUUAUCAGAGACAUUUCAUCAACUCAACAUUAGCUUAUUUUGGACCUACAUGGCUGAUUAAGUCCUGAAAAUCUCGUUGUUAUUGUUUAUUUAUUUAAUCAAAAUUGAAUUCUAUAAAGCCUCUACUUGCGACAAGUCACGUAGUAGUCAGUUAAGCAAAAAGUGAAAAUAAGAGGAUAUGUAAGGUCACUUUGCUUUGGUAUUGGCUUUAGUGAAUUUUAAUAAAAACUAAAAAGUUAAGGAUUUCAUGAAAAUAUGUUAUUAAAAUUAUUUAUUAACUUUGAUUUAGAUUAAAAUUUAGAUUUCAGUUGAUACCAAACAUGACUUAUCAAAAAAAAAAAUAAUAAUAAUAAUAAUCUCAAAAUUUUGGGGGUCACUUGACCCUGCAUGACGCCUCUUGGGUCUGCCUCUGGCUGGACCACAUAAUAACCACGAGAAAUCCCAUGAGUAAAAGUUUACCUUCUUUUUUUUUUCUUUUUUUUAUCAUGAGUGAAUUUUUUUUAAGAGGAAAAAUUAAAUGCUAUGUAGUUUCACUGAAGUUAUAACCCCCAUCUAGAUGGUACUAGAUGAUAUGUUGAAUGAAAGGUAAAAUUAAAUAACUUAUAUAAUUCCACAUAUUAUUUAGUGCCACAUUAACGCUACUAGACUGACGGUGAGGUUAAAUAGCAUUACUCUUUUAAGAGAAAAUCUGCCUUUGAAGAAAAGGAGGAUAUUUUGAUAAAAAAUUAAGUGAAUUUUUUUGGAAAAGUGACGAAUCCAUGAAGGGCACCAAGAGAAACUUUUGAAAAUGAGGCUUUGGCUGCCGAAUAUGUUCAACAUCGACAACUACAUCACCAAAAAAACUAAAAAGGUAUAGCUAUACGUGCCUCGCCAAGUAGGUGGCAAUUAUGAGAGUCAACACGAGGAACCUGAUUCAACAGAGUGUUGUUAUACAAUUCCUUCUCUGACAAAUUCAAGCAUAAAGGGAUAGGCAAAAUGCCCCUAAAUGUGCAACACCAAGGCUUCUUCUAACUCCACUACUAAAGCUAAAGGAAAAGUAAACAACAAAAAAGAAGAAGUGUAGAGUGGCAAUCCACAUAAUAUGAUGGAGAGAGGUUAGCCCCUUGAAAGUGAGGUGAAAGUAGACAUCACCGAUACCUAUUCUAUAGCCUUCCCUGCCAGGGACCAGGUAAAUGAGGAAACCUUUCUCUUGUGUAUGAGUAAGAGAUGAGCUCUUCGAAGCCCGUCAACUUCUUUGGCAAGAUGGGAGGAGCGACGCUCAGAAAUAGGCCCCAAAAUGAAGGAGUAUCUAGAAAUAGGCCUCAUGAUAUUCUUGAGCCUAGAAAAAGUCGAGAAAGAAGAGUUACAGAAGUGGAGGCUAGAAAGCAAAUUAUCAGUAUCCAACUCCACCACCUCGACAAAGGCGUGGUGAGGUCGAGCCAUCCAGGUCGGCCAAGAGAGACGAUGAUAAUUACAAUCUUUAUUUUUCUGAGGAGAUUAAAGAAUAGCCUCCAUCUUGCCAACUUCAUGAUGCCCAAGAACCCUCGAUGCAAAGAGAGAAAUGACUUAGAAGAUCAUCUCAACAUUUUUAAGAUGCAGAUGGAUCUAAGAGGAGCCUCCCAUGUUUUGAAGUAUAUAGCCUUCUACUUAACCCUAGCUGGAGGGACGAAGAAAUGGUAUAAUAAGAUCUGCAAUUAACAAAGAAAUUUUUGUUAGUUUGGAAGACGGUAAGUGAGAAUGUAAAAAAGUUGUGAAAUUUGACAUAAAAUUAAAGUUCUGUAACCCAAUUGCAAUUUCACUGAAUGUUCUAUGACCUAUAACAAAAUUUAUGCAAAUCAAAUAGAAAACUAUGUGAAUAUAACAAAUUCAAGACUCGUAAAAUUUCUCAGUGGUGAAUAUAAUAAGGAGAAAUGAUUUAGAGCUUGUUUGGUAUAGAUUUUGUUAAUUGAUUUUUUGACCGUUAGAAAUAAAGUGGGUCUUAUCUAUGAGAAAAGAAUUAAAAAAUGACGACUGAAAUAAUGAAAUAAUGAUCAAAAAUUUGAUUUUAAUUGACUUUUAAUAGGUAUCAAACAAGCACUUAAUGCACAUUGCUACUCUCUUAUAGUAAGCACCGGUGAUAUUACAUAUUAAUUUAUUUGUGGAAGCAUUGAUGGCUAGUCUCAAUAUUUGAAUUAAAUUUGUUAUUUAUCAAUGAAUCAAUAUGUUAGGUCAUCAUUACUUAGUACAAGACAAGCGACGUUGCUCAAUAGAUCAUUACUAUAUGAAUAAGAAUCCAUGCCUAAAUAUUGAAUUAGUAGAAUUUAUUUUAGGACAAAUCAAACAAAAGAUUGCGUAAUAUAAGUUGUUUUUUCUAUAACAGCUAGGCUGUCACCAUAUAAAACUGGCAUGUCUAUCUAAAUCCCUAUUUAAUGCAUGAGCUUGACCCCAAUACCAAACUUUAGACCUGUCGACUAAGGCAAUAGUGACAACAUUUUUUGCAAUUUUCAAGGGGUUUACACUUUGCUGCUACCUUAUUAGCAACCCUUUAUCCCACGAAGUUUCAAAUUUUGAUGAGCUAUAUAGACAAUAUUCAUAUGAAUAUUCUUUGCUAAAAUAAUCCGGUCAAUGAUAUGCCAAGGCGUCAUACUAAGCGCGUGUUUGGUGUAGUUAAAAAUGAAAUUUUUAUUAUAUUUUAUUAAUAUUUGAUGAAAUAUACGAUUAAAAAUUUGAUAAAAAUUGUGGAUCUUAUAACAUAUGUGAUUGAUAAUGAAUUUGAUAAAAAAUGAGUUUUAGAAAAUGAGAGCCAAACAGGGAUUAAAUUGUCACAUAGUCGAUCGGCCUUGAAGCGACAUUAUGUAAUCCAAUAAGAAAGAGCAAAGAAUAUUGGAAGUGCUAUGAUAGAGGGCCCUUAUCCAUUGUAGCAUCCAGUAUGAUUCAAGUCUACUUGUUUUGGAUAGACGUAAUUGACUUGGGACUCGUUGGAGUGGCCUUUACUUUUUGUAGAAGAGCUUUAUGAGGAAAUUACCUUAAAUAUUUUAUUGUAAAACAUAUUUUUCAAAUAUUUUAAAUAAUUCAUAGAUCCAUACGAACAAAUUUUCAUCCCAAUAGAACAUAUUAGAAAAAAGUCAUGAACUAAAAUAACAUUAUUUAUUGUGGCUUAGAGGACCCACUUGUAAACAUUCUACUCUCGUGUCGAAAGGGAAAAAUAAAAAUAAAAAUUGAAUUUAAAUAACGCUUCAAAUUUAAUGGAAAUAGAAUUAUUUUACAGUCAUGGAAAAAUAUUAAGAAAUAUUUGUUAUAAUAUUUCUGAAAUGAUUUUGCAAGUAACCUUGGCAGCAUUUAGUAGGAAGGACUAGAUUUUCACAUUAGGAUAAUACCUUGCCACUACCUGUACCAUCCUUUCCCUCUUCAAAAGUUUGUGGAUCAUCAUUGUAUCGGCAAGUUAAUCCAGACCCUCAAUUUAAUGGUAUAGAUUCUGGGAGGUACUGGAUUUUUUGGAUAUUCUCCUAUGACUCUGGUAGAAUGUGGAUAAAUUACUUUCUGAUUUUCCAUUUGCAGAAAAAUUAUUCUAAGUGUAGUCAUGCACACUUUCUUUGUAUCAUCUUUACUUUAAAGAAGCACAUUUUAACAAUCAUAAAAUUUCAUUUCCACGCCUCUCUUUAUGAUGUCAAAAACUUUUUGUUUUAAUAUCAGCAAGAUUUUCCCCGUCUCCUUCAACAGAGAUAGAGAUGAAGUUUUUGCUUUAGCAGACAAUGCAUUGUUGAGAUCAAUGAUCUAAAUCAACAAAAAACAAUUGCACUUUGUAAGCUUGUAAUUUUCUACUUCAGUUUACUUUAUAUGACUCCAGAACUUGAGACUAUAUUCAUUGUUACACCAGAAGUCUUAGUGGUUAGUUUAGAUGAGGCGUUUCAACAAAUUUCUCCAAAAAUACAAGUUCUAUUUGUUUCUCUGAGAAUCCCAGAAUGUGAUUUGUCUUAGACCUCUUGUUUAUUAAUUGAUUUUGGCAUCUCAGAUGGCCAAUUCCAAUAUGCUGAUUGGUUCUUUGUCUCUACUCAAGUUCUUGCACACCCAUAAAAUAUUUCUUAAGAUCAUAACUUGAGAAGAAUACUAUAUAGGUUUUAAAAUAAAAACUUGGUAUAAUACAACUUAUUUAGGACAAAUCGAAUAUAACCUUUUUGUAAUAUAAGUUGUUCUUUCUGUAAUAGCCUUUAUCUGCUGCUGCAAACUCUAUAAAAAGCUCUACCAGUUGCAUGAAUUUUACUUAACUACCAAACUUUAAUUUUAAACAUGUCUAAGGCUAAAAUGCUUGCGGUUUUCAUGGGUUUUGUUCUUUUGUGCUACCUUAGCAACCCUUUGGCUCAUGCCUCAAAUGCUGAUAAGCCGAAUGCUCUGUUAACCUCCAUCUCGAGUACCCAAGGGGCUCAUAACGUCCCAUUUGAAGAACCACUUGGUGGAUUACCGCAUAGAAGACUGUUGGAAUGUUGUGGAUGUCCGGGCAGAUCUUGUAUCCUUUGCUGCAAGACAAAGAAUUCAACCGCGUGAUUUUAAUCUAGUUUUUCGCAAUUUCUAUUGUGUUUUCAUUCUGUCAAUGUUGUACUUGCUAAUGUAACGUAUCAAAGAACUUUGAUACCGUGUAGUGGGUCACCUACAUUCAUUUGUAAAACUCAUUUUCCUUUUUAUGUGUUAUGUGUGCCAUCUAAGGAAUGUAAAAAUAUCGUCUCCUUAUGAUCAUUGCAGGGUAAGUAUUCCUUUUUGAGAAAUUAUAACUACAAAAUUGAUGCUCACUUUGGGUGUCUUUAUAAAUUUAAGUGCGGUAAGUACAAUCCACUUAGGAUUUUAAGGAGGUGACAAAUCUUAGUGGGACGUAAAAUUUUGUCAUGAAUAAAAUUCUAUUUCGAGCGAAAACCAUUUUUAAAUGCUGAUUUGUACAAAAUGAUAUUUUAGGAUAAUAUCUAUCAACAAAAGCAAUAUAAAGAUUUAAAAAAAAAAAAAACUAUAAUCACAAGGUGGCAUUUGUGAGAGACUAGAAAUUUAGAACCUAAUUCGAAAUUCAAUUUUUCAGAGAUGAAUAGUUUUUACUAAUGGCAUAUACAAGAUGUUAGAUGAUCACUAAAGUAUGUUACAAAAUUCUUAAAAUAUAUAUGUGAAUCUUCACAGGAAAUUUCUUUUUCACAUUUUAGCCUAAAAAAUGUUUUUAAAAUGAAAAAAAAAAAACAAAUUGAAACAAUUUUAUUAUCUUGCAAGCGACUCUCCAGUUGUGACCAUCUAUCAAUUAAUUGAUGAUCAAUCAAAUAAGAAAAAAUUAAUUUAAUUUAUUAGUUAUGUUUAAACUAUGAAAUAAUGUGACACACAUACAAGCACAACAUCAUGCUCUAGCUAGUAUACAUGGAUGUACCAUUCGUAGGAAUAGCAACGGGGCGGGUUCGGGGUGGGGAUGGGGCAACUUUUUGCCCCAUUUAAUUUUAUUAUUAUUAUUUUUUUAUAUUUUCAAAGUUUCAAGUUAUGUUAUUAUUAGGGAAUAAAAUAUAAAUUCAAAAUGGAUUUUUAAUGGAUGAAUUAUUUAGAAAUAAAAUUAUUUUUAAUCUUUUUUUCCUUUCACACAGUGGGUUCGGGGGCGAGGUGGGACACCAAUCAUUUCGGGGUGGGUUUUUUUUCCCAUUCGGGGCGGAGUCAUCACUAACCGUUGGUAUCUGGCAAUGACAUUAGGUGUUGGUUGUUAAUUAUGACAUUAGCAAAAGUCAUAAAUAAUCACUAGAAUACACGCAUCUUCUAUUUUGAUAUCCUAUUAAGUUAGUAAAUAGAAAUUUUUAGGGUAUAAUAAACCAUUGGUCUUCAACUUAUUUGUCAAAUACCAAAUUUGUUGUGAACCUUUAAAGAGAAGGAAGUCCCAACUUUUAAUUUACAAUUUCACAAUAAAUCAAAUUCACAUCUUCUUGACCAAAUGAAAACAUAUUCCAAUUCAAAUUUUUAAGAGUUACGAAUAAAAUCUAACUUCAUAGAGUCGAUGAUCUGAUUACAAGAGACAUGUUAUCAACACAACAUUUGCCUAGUUGGAUCAUGGGGCUAUUUGAGUAUUGACAAUUCUGUUAUUGUUUGUGAUCAAAAUUAAAUUCUAUCACGCCUAUACUUGAGAGACAGGUCACGUAAUAGUCAGUUAAGUAAUUGGAUAUGUAAAGUCAUCACUCUAUUUCAGUGUCACCUUUUUCACACGUGUCCACCAAGGCAACGAGGUCAUGCACUUAGAUGUUUUCGUCCAAAGUGGUAUUAUCAAAGGAGAGGUAUUACAAUUUUCUUGAAGUACAUUAAUGCGGCAAUUGGCAAGUGGCAUCUUCCAUGAAGGGCCUCGGUAGUAGGCAUUACCUCAUUUUAGGUCAAUGUACAUUAGAUUUGCUGAUUGAUGUGACAGUUUAGCAUUUGAGCAUCUUAUGGAACUUUUUAGAAAAAAAAUCCAGGCUAUACAAGCUAGAAUUGCUACAAGGCUAUGACAACUACGGAUUGACACAAGUGAUAAGAUUUGGCUUGACAGAUGAGAUAUUAGGAUGAAAUUAUGUGUUAACCAUCCAAGGAAUAUCUUGAUAGCUAGACCACGCCGAAUGUGAAGAAGAGCCGGUAUCUGUUGAUACCUAGACCACCCCAAAUUUGGAGUCAAUAGAUUGUCACUCUCUAUUAAUGUGAUUCAUGGAACGAAUGCAAUGAAGUCAAGUUCGAACAAAGAUUUGUUGAUUGUUGACAAAGGGUGGAUGAUGAGGUUGCUAGCGAAGAGGAUCAAAGAAACGAUGAUAUUACUUGUUCAAGCUAAAAUGGAUGAAAUAUCGAUCUUGACAAGCAAAUCAACAAGUUUCAUGUUGGGCUCGAAAGGAGAAACAUGAUGGACCAACUUGAUUCAAACCACAGAUGGAAGAGUUGCGAAAACAAAUUGGUUCAAUGUGAUUCAAACAUUGGAAGAAGGGGCUGACGGGGAUAACUAUGCGACUCAUAGUUAUCAAAGCGAUUGCAUAGAAUUAUGCAAAAAAAUUAGAGAGGCCAUUUUAGCUCUUCUAUGCAAUCGCAUCUGAAUAUACUAUGGGACUGCAUAGUUAAUUUUGGGUCACUAGAAGUUUUCAAAAUUCGUGAAUUCUCCUAAUUUAGUUAAAACUCUAUAUUUUUGUAUCUUUUAUAAUAUUUAGGAAUUUGAUAGAAAUCUCAAUUUAUGAUUGUGUUGGUUACUUGGUUCAAUAUUUUUGGGUCAAACUCUAAACGUUGAUUCUUGACUUUAUUGGGUUUGAUUUAAUCUCAUAUAUGUUUCGUAGUUACUAUUGCUAUGUUGGUUCACAUCAUCUAUAGAAUCACACACUAACCACGAGAAGUAAAACCUUACUUUUUUUUUUUAUGUGAUCCAUGGAACGAAUACAACGAAGGCAAGCUCCGACAAGGAUCUGCUGAUCGUUGAAGAAGGGUUUAUGACUAGGUCACGAGCGAAGAGAAUCAAAGAAGUGAUGAGUUUACUUGUUCAAGCCAUGAUGGACAAAACAUCGAUCGUGGUAAGCAAAUGAACAAGUUUUGUGUUGGGCUCGGGAAAGGAAAUGUGAUGGAUCAACUUAAUAUAAGCAAGGGACGGAGGACACGAGCCAUAUAACUAUGCGAUCACAAUAGAGUAAAACUUGACACGAAAUUCUCCAUUUUCUGCAAAAUCUCCUAAUUAUGUUAAAACUCUAAUUUUUGGUAACUUUUGUAAUUUUUAGACUUUAAUUCUAUUUCAACUAGGGUUUUAUGGGUUUUUAAUACAUAGAACUCAUUAUAUCACAUUGUAAAUAUCUUUCAUUCAUAUCAAUAGAGAGAUUAUUUGUGAGCAUAAUUGUAAUACUUUAAUUUAGUAAAAAAAAUUGAAAAGUCAAAUAUGUCAUACUAUUAUAUAUAUAUAAAGAUUGCAGCGGUGGAGGAUUGGAUAUCCAAUCCAAUCCAAAUCCAUUACAAAACAAAUAAAAAUCCAUUAUCCACAUUAAAACACAUACACACGGUGAAAAAAAAACGUGCAGGGAGAGAGAAAGAGAAAAAGGGAGAGAAAAGAGAAAAGAGAAAGGGAAAAAAAGGGAAGAAGAAGAAAAGAAAAUAGAAAAUUUUUGCCAACGUGUUAGGAAUUAAGUGGUCUACAUUAUUAGGCUUGAAUUCCUCAAUUUUAAAAGGUAAGUAAAAAGUUACUUAUUAAGUUAUGUUUGAUUUUAUAAUUGUUAGAUUGUUAUAUUAAAUUCAAUUUUAUUGAGGGGGUUAAGUGUAAUAAACUAUGAAAUUGAGUAAGAUGAAAGAAAAAUUAGUUUUAGUUAUUAAAGAGACUGUAGAAAUCGCCCAAACGUGAAAUGAUUAAGUUUGGGUAUUGCCUAUUUAACUAUUGAAAUUAUUUAAAAUAAUUAAUUGUUUAUUUAAAAAUUAUAUCAUAUUUCAAGCGACGAUACUGACAUCAAAACAGCUUACCAACUGGAUUGGUUUUGGAAUGUAGUUCUGUGAGUGGAAAAAUAUAAAUAUUUUUAAAGUAUUUAUAAAUUAAGUUUAUUAUUAAAGUUUGUGCAAUUAUAUGCAAUUAUGUGUUCAAAUCAUAUGGUUAUUAUGGAAAUAUCUUUUAUUAUGAUAAAUGUGGAAUUUCAAGAAUUAUUUAUUGUACGUUUGUGACUUGGUAUAUGAGACAUGUGAUAUUGAGAUCGGCCAGAAAAGUACCCUAGAUUAUAUACUUCUUAUAGUUCACAGAGGGGCUUUGGUCGUGUUCUAUCCUACACGGAGGGUCUUGACCUGACAUUGGUCUCGAUUGUGUACAUAUAAUUCACUGAAAGGUCUUGACCGUGUUCUAGAAUUGAUUAUGAGAGGUCUUUGAGACCGGCUUUCGUUUAUGGGGGGGGCCAAAGGCCCGUGUUGAAAGUUUUUAGCCUGAGGGGCGGAUUAUAUAUUUCAGUCAGAGGGUACAUUUUUGAUGAAUUUUUCAGUACGUUUGAUGUGAUGAGAUUAUAGCAUGGUUAUCAGUUGAUAUCUAUAUCAUGAUUUUGAGAUGAUAUUUUACGACCUUAUGUGAAUAUUUCACUUUUGGUUAUAAUUACAUGAUGUUAUCUUGUGAAUUAUUAAAUGAUAUGAACUUCAUUCUCGAUAGAAAUGUAAAAUUGAAAAAGUAUAAUUAUUUUCGAACUGCUCCACUCACUGGGUUAUCAACUCAUAUAUUUUUCCACGAUUUUUCCUACAGGAGGGAAUUGAUCCUUCUUAGCUGGAAGAGCCUAAUGAUUUCGAAAUAAGAGUCACACGACAUGUUGAGUGUUAUAAUUCAUAUUGAUGAAGCACGAAGUAAAUAAUUUGGGCCCACGCAUUAUGUUUUAUAUAAACAUUUAUUUUUGCGCAUUUUUUUAAAUAACUCAUAGUCAGUUUUGGUGAUAGAUUUGACAUCUAGUCAGCAUCUAUCAUCGGCGCACGCCACAUUUUUUCGAUCCACUAGGGUGAUUCGAGACGGGUCGUGUCAAAGUGGUAUCAGAGCAUGGUUUUGAAAAUUUUUAUGGUUCAUGCAUGUUUAGUGGAUAUGAUCACAUGUCGUGGUGGCAGAAAUCACGGGCUCUCUAGCUCAAAUGCAUAGAACAAAAAAAUGAUAGAAAGAUAUUUUUUAACAGGUCCAGGAAAGACUAGUAUGUAAGUAUGGUAGUUGCAAUGAUAUUAUAGUUGGAAAUGUUAUUAGUUGUUGGGUUGGAACUAUGUGUAUAUGUAACCUAUUAAGAUUUGGCCAGAUUUUGAUGAUUUUGCGGGACAUUCGAAGUUAUAGAUUUUCUAACUAGCGUGGAAUUUUAAUUAUUUUGAAACCAAAUGGUCUUUAGUGUUAUCAAAUUGUGUGGUGAUUUGUGGCCACUUAUAUGGGAUGAUAAUAUAAAUCAUGAUGGUGUAUAUUUAUUCUAUAUGAUAAGAAAUUGUGGAAGACAAAAUGAUGAUUUGUUGAUUGAUAGAUGACAAUGUGUUAUUGUGUAUUUUAGGCAUUGAGAAAAUUAAUGAUAAUUCCAAUUAUUUCGAUUAUUUAUGAGUGGUUUGAUUACAAGGAAUGUGAGAAUAAUAUGAAUGAUAUUCAUAAUGAUUACCCAUUAGGGGAUAAUUUGUUGCUUUAAAAAUAGAAUUAAAUAGAUAUGUGCAUUUAGGUAUGUUUAUAUUGAAAAAAAAUAAAAUUAGAGAAUGGUAAAAUUUGAAUUUAUUGAGUUUGGAAAUUUAACGUAUGAAAUCAUGAUGAUAUAUUGAUCUAUGAAAGGUUCACAUGGUAAAUAUGAAGGUUAUUAUUUUGUAAUCUUAAGGAAAAAUUGAUAUAACUAAAAGUUGGAAGACAUAUGGUAUAGCCAUAAGUAUGUGAUGAUGUUACGUGAUUACAACAUGAUAUGGUGAAUAUCAUGUAAAUGAAUGUAAUGACUAUCCUAUAACAAAAUAAUGUGAUGAAAGAUUUGGGUUAGUAAGUUAAUUAAUUUUUUAAAACCAUUUCUUAGAGUAUUGUGUUAUGUUUCAUACAAUUUGGAAGCGUUGAGUUAAAUUUUGAAGUUAAGAUGAAUUAAUAAAUUUUUAGCGAUGUAAUUCUUGGGUGAUUUUCGAUUGUAUUUUUGGACUUCAGGUAUAAAGUAUUCCAUGUUUAUUGAGAUAUGUUAGCGAUGGAAUAUAAGGAUGAUAUGUCGAAUAAUUUGAAGUUUAGGGUGAUGAUUGAAUGUAAUUUUAUUCAAUUGUGGCAGUAUCUUUAGGUUACAUUACCCCAAUUAAAGGUAUUUAUGCGAUAUACAAGAAGGAUUAUGCAUUGAUGGUAGACCAACGACCCAUUUAUGGAAUAAGAGUAUAGAUUUUCAUGGAUUAAAUGUUAUUAUUGUCUUUUUAUAAAAAGAAAGAGCAAAAUUUGUAUGGGCAUAGAAAUGUCAAAAGUUUUGCAAUUAGAAAAUUCUGAGGAAAUAUUUGCUCUAAUAUUUAAAGAUGAUGAGUGAUUGAUUCACGAUAAUGAUUUAUGGUAAUGGAUUAUGUUAAGGUUAGAAAGUGUUCUGAAGUAAAAUGAUGAAUUAUGAAUUAUAUGAUAGAUUGUUGAAGAUGCAUGAUUAAAACAUGAUUUGGAGUUAGUUUUAUUGUGAUUCUGUCAUCACAUUGCAAGAAAUAUCAAUAUUUAUCAAUCAUUAGAGUUUUAAGGUAUAUUUUAUUAGAAAUGGUGGAAAUGGAAAUUGUGUAUAUAUUAUUAUUGGGUGAUAUAUAAUUAAAGGAAAAGAACACCAUAUUGAACUAUCUUAAUUGUUUUGUUGAGGAUAAAUAGAAUUUUAGAAAAUCAUGAACAAUUGAAUUUUUGGAGAUAUUGUCAAUUUAGAAUGGAGGCAUUUACCCUCAAAUAUUUUUGUUUGGGAAUUCCAAAUACACGGAAUGGAGGCAAAAUAGUAUUUAAAUCAUUGUGGAUAUAUUGAUUAAGGUUACGAGAUUAUUUUUGACUGAUAUAGUCGGUUAAUAGGAUAGACUUAUAAAAUUAUAUAUAGACAAUAUUGUUAAUUACACUGUGGAGUUGGAGUAUUUAUCUUUGGUUAGUUGCAAGAAGUUAUAUAAUUGAAUUACAUUGCGCAUCUUCUUUUGAUAGAAUGUCAGACACUAUGAAGACAAGUUCAAAAGAGAGGCUAUCAUCUAUGGUUGGUUAAUUAAAGGAGACUUGGAUAAUUAUUUAUUUUCAUGGAAUUGACAUAUAAAAACUAGACACAAGUGGCGAUAAUUGAGGUUAUAUAUAAUAUUGAGAUAUUCCAAGGACGUAUGACGAAAUGGGUGAAAGAUUGUUGUUCGAUCUUAAUAUGUAACCAUUAUUAUAGAAAAAGAAUGUGAUUAGAGAAUAGUUUAAAUUAGGACAGAAGGUGAAGAUUUGAAGAACAUGAAAAGUAGUAUCUUGAACCUCAAUUUGAAAAUAAUAAUAAUAAUUGAGUUUUCCUAAGAUUUGGAAAAAGGAAAAGAUGAGAAUACCAUAUAUUGGUUCUUUGGAAACUAUUAAAACUAUGAUGGGAAGGAUUAAAUUUUGGGACUAAAAGUUCGUUGGAGAAAUCAUUCCAUAGUUAUUAGACCCGGACCGGACCGGCCGGUUUGAACCGAAAACCGUUGAACCGGACCAUGGUCCGGUCCGAGCCACCUGUUAUUUUAAAUCUGCAAUUGACCCAAUAAAACCCAAAGAAAUCGCCGGUUUUUCCUCUGAACCGCUGGCCCAAAUUUUAAAGAAAUCGUUCGGUCCAAAUACUUUGUAUAAAAACCCUCUCUCAUUCUCCUUCACAGUCGAACUCAAACUCGAAAUAUUUGCCCUACCCCCAUAGCAGAGCAGCCCGUCUCUUGCAAGUCGAAAUUUCACUCCCAAGAAUCCAAACUUCAAAUUUCAAGUUAUAAUAGAUGGAAGAAGAAAAUGUUAGUUUAAACUUUAAAUUUUAGUGGAAUCUACAAAAAGAAAAUCUAAUCCACAUUGUGCUGCUGGGUAUUUCUAUUUUCUUUGUAAAUUUCAAUUUUCUGUGCUGGGUAUUUCCAUUUUCUCUGUAAAUUUCAAUUUUCUGUCCUCAAAUUUUUGCUGCAAAUCUGAUUCAUAUGUGCGUUGCUGGGUAUUUCCAUUUUCUUUGUAAAUUUCAAUUUUCUGUCCUCCAAUUUUUAUUGCAAAUCGGAUCCAUAUGUGCGUUACUGGGUAUUUCCAUUUCGUAAUUUGAUGUGUGCAUAUGUUUGAUUGAAUUUCACAGUUUUAGUUCUUUGGUUUAUGGAUUUUUUUUUUUGGUAGAUUCCAUGAAUUGUAUGUUGAUCAAUUGUUGUAAUUUAGUUAGCUAAUUAGCUUUGUAAGCAUGCUGUAAAUCUCAAUUGUUGUAAUGAUUCUUUUUGUAGCUUUGUGAGCAUGCUGUAAGAUUUUUAUAUUUUUAUAUGAUUGAUUGUUGUGAUUAUUGUUUCAAAUUCAGAUUUCACCAUCUAUGAUCUAGAAUUUGUGAAAUUGGGAUACAAAUUGAUAUUUACUUAACAAAACAAUACGAGGUUAAUUUAGUUUUUAAUAGAAAAUGGAAAAUUUUUCUCAUUCAAUGGAAAUAGUUAAUAUUAUUUUUGAUAAGAAAUGACUCACCGGUUGAACCACCGAGUCGCCGGUUGAACCACUGACCCGUUGACCCACUGCGCUGUCCGGGUCGACGUCUGGGUCGGGUUUGACAACUAUGAAUCAUUCAAUAGAAAAGGCACUAUGGAAAGUGAAGAUCAGAUAUGUCCUCAAAAUCCGCAGCUUUUUUUUUUGUACUUCAUUAAUUGAAUUUCGAGGACGAAAUUCUUUUAAGGGGUGAGUUUUGUAGUACCUUAAUUUAGUAAAAUAAAAUAAUAAUAAAUUGAAAAGUCAAAUAUGACAUACUAUUAUAUAAAAAAAAAAAAAAAAAGAUUGAGGCGGUGGAGGAUUGGAUUGAUAUCAAUCCAAUCCAAAUCCAUUACAAAACAAAUAAAAAUCCAUUAUCCACAUUAAAACACAUACACACAGUGAAAAAAAAAAACAUGCAGGGAGAGAGAGAGAGAGAGAAAAAGAGAAAGAGAAAAGAGAAAGUGAAAAAAAGGGGGAAGAAGAAGAAAAAAAAUAGAAAAUUUUUGUCAAAGUGUUAGGAAUUAAGUGGUCUACAUUAUUAGGCUUGAAUUCCUCAAUUUUGAAAAGUAAGUAAAAAGUUACUUAUUAUCAAGUUAUGUUUGAUUUUAUAGUUGUUAGAUUGUUAUAUUAAAUUCAAUUUUAUUGAAGGGGUUAAGUGCAAUAAACUAUGAAAUUGAGUAAGAUGAAAGAAAAACUAGUUUUAAUUAUUAAAGAGACUGUAGAAAUUGCUUAAACAUGAAAUGAUUAAGUUUGGGUAUUGCCUAUUUAAUUAUUAAAAUUAUUUAAAAUAAUUAAUUGUUUAUUUAAAAAUUAUAUCGUAUUUCAGGCGAUGAUACUGACAUCAAAACAGCUUACCAAUCGGAUUUAUUUUGCGAACAUAGUUCUGUGAAUGGAAAAAUAUAAAUAUUUUCAAAAUAUUUAUAAAUUAAGUUUAUUGUUAAAGUAUGUGCAAUUAUAUGCAAUUAUGUGUUCGAAUCAUAUGGUUAUUAUGAAAAUAUUUUUAUUAUUAGACAUGUGGAAUUUCAAGGAUUAUUUAUUGUAUGUUUGUGACUUGAUAUAUGAGACAUGUGAUAUUGAGGUAGGCUAGCGAAGUAUCCAUGAUUAUAUAUUUCUUCUAGUUCACAAAGGGGCCUUGACCGUGUUCUAUCCUAUACGAAGGGUCUUGACCUGACAUUGGUCUCGACCGUGUACAUAUCGUUCACUGAAGGGCCUUGACCGUGUUCUAGAAUUGAUUAUGAGAGGUCUUUGAGACCGACUUUCGUUCACGGAGGGGCCAAAGACCCGUGACGAAAGUUCUUAGCCCGAGAGGCGGAUUAUAUAUUUUAGUCAGAGAGUAUGACGAAAUGGGUGAAAGAUUGUUGUUCGAUCUUAAUAUGUAACCAUUAUUAUAGAAAAAGAAUGUGAUUAGAGAAUAGUUUAAAUUAGGACAGAAGGUGAAGAUUUGAAGAACAUGAAAAGUAGUAUCUUGAACCUCAAUUUGAAAAUAAUAAUAAUAAUUGAGUUUUCCUAAGAUUUGGAAAAAGGAAAAGAUGAGAAUACCAUAUAUUGGUUCUUUGGAAAUUAUUAAAACUAUGAUGGGAAGGAUUAAAUUUUGGGACUAAAAGUACGUUGGAGAAAUCAUUCAAUAGAAAAGGCACUAUGGAAAGUGAAGAUCAGAUAUGUCCUCAAAAUCCGCAGCUUUUUAUUUUGUACUUCAUUAAUUGAAUUUCGAGGACGAAAUUCUUUUAAGGGGUGAGUUUUGUAGUACCUUAAUUUAGUAAAAUAAAAUAAUAAUAAAUUGAAAAGUCAAAUAUGACAUACUAUUAUAUAAAAAAAAAAAAGAUUGAGGCGGUGGAGGUCCAAAUCCAUUACAAAACAAAUAAAAAUCCAUUAUCCACAUUAAAGCACAUACACACAGUGAAAAAAAAAACAUGCAGGGAGAGAGAGAGAGAAAAAGAGAAAGAGAAAAGAGAAAGUGAAAAAAAAGGGGGAAGAAGAAGAAAAAAAAUAGAAAAUUUUUGUCAAAGUGUUAGGAAUUAAGUGGUCUACAUUAUUAGGCUUGAAUUCCUCAAUUUUGAAAAGUAAGUAAAAAGUUACUUAUUAUCAAGUUAUGUUUGAUUUUAUAGUUGUUAGAUUGUUAUAUUAAAUUCAAUUUUAUUGAAGGGGUUAAGUGCAAUAAACUAUGAAAUUGAGUAAGAUGAAAGAAAAACUAGUUUUAGUUAUUAAAGAGACUGUAGAAAUUGCCUAAACGUGAAAUGAUUAAGUUUGGAUAUUGCCUAUUUAAUUAUUGAAAUUAUUUAAAAUAAUUAAUUGUUUAUUUAAAAAUUAUAUCGUAUUUCAGGCGAUGAUACUGACAUCAAAACAGCUUACCAAUCGGAUUUAUUUUGCGAACAUAGUUCUGUGAAUGGAAAAAUAUAAAUAUUUUCAAAAUAUUUAUAAAUUAAGUUUAUUGUUAAAGUAUGUACAAUUAUAUGCAAUUAUGUGUUCGAAUCAUAUGGUUAUUAUGAAAAUAGCUUUUAUUAUUAUACAUGUGGAAUUUCAAGAAUUAUUUAUUGUAUGUUUGUGACUUGAUAUAUGAGACAUGUAAUAUUGAGAUAGGCUAGCGAAGUAUCCAUGAUUAUAUAUUUCUUCUAGUUUACAGAGAGGCCUUAACCGUGUUCUAUCAUAUACGAAGGGUCUUGACUUGACAUUGGUCUCGACCGUGUACAUAUCGUUCACUGAGGGGCCUUGACCGUGUUCUAAAAUUGAUUAUGAGAGGUCUUUGAGACUGACUUUCGUUCACGGAGGGGCCAAAGACCCGUGACGAAAGUUCUUAGCCCGAGAGGCGGAUUAUAUAUUUUAGUCAGAGAGUACAUUUUUGGUGGAUUUUUCAGUAAGUUUGAUAUGAUGAGAUUAUAGCAUGGUUAUCAGCUGAUGCCUAUAUCAUGAUUUUGAGAUGAUAUUUUACGACAUUAUGUGAAUAUUUCACUUUUGGUUAUAAUUACAUGAUGUAAUCUUGUGAAUUAUUAAAUGAUAUGAACUCCAUUUUCGAUAGAAAUGUAAAAUUGAAAAAGUAUAAUUAUUUUCGAACUGCUCCACUCAUUGGGUUAUCAACUCCUAUAUUUUCCUACGAUUUUUUCUACAGGUGAAAAUUGAUUCUUCUUAGCUGGAAGAGCCUAAUGAUUUCGGAAUAAGAGCCACAUGACAUGUUGAGUGUUAUAAUUCAUAUUGAUGAAGCACGAAGUAAAUAAUUUAGGCCCACGCAUUAUGUUUUAUAUAAACAUUUGAUUUUGGCGCAUUUUUUUAAAUAACUCAUAGUCAACUUUGGUAAUAGAUUUGACAUCUAGUCAGCAUUUAUCAUCAACGCACGUCACGUUUCGGGUCCACUAGGGUGAUUCGGGAUGAGUCGUGUCAAUAAUUUACUUUCAAUUUCUUGUUCUUCAUUGAACUAAGUUCCAAACUUAUCAAGAAUUAUUUUCCUGUAGUGUUGAAACAAUUCGAGUGAAAUUCUUGAAUCCUGUGAUUAAGGUGUCAACAUUUUGCGGUGAUUGUAUUGGUUACUUGGUUCAAUAUUUUUGGGUCAAACUCUAAACGUUGAUUCUUGGCUUUCUUAGGUUUGAUUCAAUUUCGUAUGGAUUUCGUAAUUACUAUUGCUACAUGUGUUCACAUCAUUUUUCCUUGAAAAAUUUUUGUUCUUGAAGAAAGAACAAGUGUAACUUUUGGAAAAAAAGGUUCUGCCUUCCAAGAAAAGGAAUAUUUCUUUAAAGAAAAUGAUGGACAUUUUAAUCCAAUAAAUAAAUGAAAUUUUUGACAAAGUGAUGAAUCCACAUAGGGUGCCAAGAAAAGAUUUUGAGAAUCAGGCUCUGGUUGCUUGAAGAAUGGAUCAAUACGAAUAAGGUCAAUUUUAGUCAAAUCACGAGGAUUAUCAGGAAUAGAAAAUAAUAGACUUUACUCAAGAAACACAAUAUGACGAGAAACGUAUAAUUUCAUCCUUGCCCAUAACCCGAGAAAACACAGAUAGCAGAGCGAGAUGUCAACUUGUUACGUUCAACUUCAGGACCGGAAAACAAAGCAAGCACAACUAAAGACUCUCAAAGAAGUGCUAUUAGAGUGAAUAAGAUCAAAUGACGCAACAGAAUGAGAAACACUUCCAGGAAAAGGUAAAACAGAAAAUUUAGCUAAUUUGCAACCACAGAAAUGUCAUAAGUUUGCAAAUCUCCCAAUUGACCUUUAGAAACUAAAAAAUUCAAACGACUAGUGAAAACAUGUCUAAGACGAGAAUGCCACAAACAAAACUAGAAGACAAUGAAUUCAAAGAAAAAGAUGACAAGUUAAGACCAGAUGCUGCAAUGUAUAGUGGUCUUAGAUUGAUCGAAACAUAUAACUCUUCUUGUCUACGGCCUAUCCCAAUCAUUAUAUGAGAUUGGUGGUCCUGCACAUGAUAAGAAGUAGAAGAAAAUUAAACUAAAUAUCUAGAACCACACAAUUGGCUAAUAGAAAUAAGAUUUAAAGUAAGAGCUGGAACACAAUAUAUGUUUUAAAGAUGUAAAUUAUGUGUGUUAACAGAACCAAUACCUGCUAAAGGCAAUAAUGUGCCAUCAACAGUCAUAACAGACAUAGACGAGUUAGAAGAAUGCAAGUCAUUAAAGAGUUUUUAGUUAGAUGACAUGUGCUUGAAAGCACUGUAGUCAAAUAUCCAUGAGGAAAAAGUAUCCGAUUGACUUUGAGAUGACAAACCCAUAUGAUUAGAGGUUGACAUAACAUGUGACUCUGUGGCUAAGAACUUUUGAAACUGCUCUACUAAAUUAGUCAACAUAGGACUAGAGGAAGUUGGAGCUCCAAGUAGAGACGAGUCAUUAGAUGGCAUUGUAGUAGCUACGUUAGUAGUGGGAUCACAGGAUCACCGUCGUGGUUGUGGCUACUGCUUCUUCAGUAGUUUGGGACAUUGAGAUUUCCAAUAUCCAUUUUGCUCACGAAAGUUGCACUCGUCACUAGCAACUUGCACGUAACCUUUGUUUUGAUUCUGUGUGGAUGAUCAAGAGGAUAUAGUCAACACUAAGAUGCUAGAUGGACGAAAAGAUACUUCUCCUGCAAGAGAUUUCAAACGUGUUUCUUUAGCUACAAAUCCUUCAAUAUCACUGCGAAGUACCAUAAAAAAUUAAACUAAGCGCUGCUCCUUUCUAAAAGUGAUAUAUUUCUCAGAUGCUUUCAGUCCCACUGAUUCUAUAAGAGCCAACUCAUCCCAAAUUGAAUUCAUAGUAGCAAAAACCUCGAGAAUACUCAUAUCCUUUUGUUGUAAAGCCUAUAUAUCAAUCUCUAACUGAUAUCAUUUUGCAGAAUUAAACUCAGUGUAUAAUUUCUAAAAGUCCCAAACUUAUUUCGCUGUUUCAAACUUUGCCGACUGUGUACCAAUGGAUUGCUUAACAGAAUUAUGAAUCCAAAAUUUUCGCAUUGUUUGACUCCCAAUUAUUUAACUCUGUCACAUAAUUCUCGAUAGUGUUCUUAGAUUUCAUGACAGUUCCACAAAUAUAACCCCACAAUCGUUUUCCUUUUAGAAAAUUCCUCAUCAUAGUACUCCAAUAUGAUUAGUUUUUACCACUUAAUAUGACAUUAAUAGAUUGAAGUGAAUCAUUCUUUUUAGUUGUCAUCAUGAAAUUAACGAAUAAACAACUGAUAAAAAAAAUCUGCAUAUUCCAAGAAAUUCAACGACAACCAAUGUACCAACAUGAAGUACCAUCGGAAUAAACCAUACAAUGCAUGUAUAGCCAAAGAAAUACCACCAAAUUGUUAGAAACUAACCAAGGAAGAAACUAUCUCAUUGAAGCGUCAACGAAAAACCCCACAUACGCCUACACACCCCACCGAACCCCAGCAACUUCCGUUCACGCACUGCUGGAAUCAAACGCGUGGUGUCACACGUGCAAGUCAGGCAGGAUUAUCUCGUCGUCAUAAAUCUAAAUAUAGUCCCCAAUUGCCGAAUGAAAGUUUUGUUAGAAAGAUAUUGUAUAUAUAUUUUCAGUGACGACUCAAGAGAAAAUUAGGGUUUCCUAUUAUUUUUUAUGCUACAAGUAGUUUGAGAAUGGAUAGACUGGAAAAAAAAUAAAUAAAUAAAUAAUUCAACAAAUAUGUUUAGGCUUUAAUACUAUGAUAAUAUAUAAUCUAAUAAUAUAUAAUCUAAUAUAAAGAAUCAAACAUAUAGAGAACCAAAGAGGAUGGGGAAGAAGAAGAAGAAAAAGAAAACAAUUGAGCCACCAAAGUGACUAGGUUUCUAAUGAAAAACACAUAAGUUUAUAUCAAAACUAAAUAUUAAACUAACUAUACACAAUAAUAUUAUAUCUAAAUCGUAAAAGGAUAACAAAAGUCACAUUUGAUCAACUUUCUCUAGACGUUCUUUUAAUGAGAAGAAUGACUUUCAUAAAAUUAGUCAAAUAGAUCCAAAAGCAAUUUUUGAAUCUCAAAUGCUCAUUUUGUCUGCUUUAAAGUAUGCCAAACGAGCUCUUAUCUUAAUAAUCACUUUGUCAAGCAAUGUUUUCUGUGAAUAAUUUUGAUCAAAAUUUUAUAUAGAUACAAUUACAACGUAUAAAAAAACAACCUUAUUCUCAGGGACACUAAGGCCCGCUUGAUUUGUAUUUUAGUUUCCAGUUUUGAAAAAAUAUUAAGUCUACUUUGAGUUUAUGUUUUAAAAUUGGAGAAAAAAACUUUUCAUUUGUCUUGAAAAUUAUUUCUCAAUAUGAAAAACUGAAAAACACAUUUGAUUUAGAAUUUGUAGAAAUUAUUUUAUGACUUAUUAUAAUUUGAUUAUUCAGCGAAAUCGAAAAAAAUUAUUCUAGUAUUUAUCAAAUAAUAUAUACAUUUUAAAUUAGUGAAUCUUAUAACAUUUUUCAUGCACUCGGAAUUACAGUAAGUAAUUGUCAAUGAUAAGAUUGCAUCAGACAAUUCAAUAGCAAGUAGACUUAUGAGUCCAUAUGUAGUCAUUCCACAUUUGUAUAGCAAUUUGAUGCAUGACUUAUCCAUUUGAGUUAUUUUACAAUAAUCAAAUCGUUGGCGAUCACCAAGGCACCGUCGUGAGCAAUUACUGAUAUUAUAAGAGAUAUUAUCAUAAAUCAUUGAUAAUGCUUUUAAUAUUUAAUUAUUUUUUAAUGUUAUUAAUUACUGCCAAAUUUUUAAUAAAAAAGUAGAAAUGUAAAAUAUUAAAGUUGGGGGUUUAGAUAAAAUCUCGUAGGCCUUAAGUAAUCACCUCAUUUGUAUAAUACUUUAGCUGACUCUGAUUGUGCUGGUCGAGUUAGAAAAUCUUGGAAGACUUGAGUUUAUAUAUUAGAAAAAUGAGAGUACGGGGAACACGGGCACUCUUUGAUGAGAUCUCUAAUUCACUCCAAGAGACAAGCAUAUUUUAUGGUCAAACUCAUAUACCUAUCGUACAAUAACCCUUUAUCGGAAAUAUACAUGUUCGUGUUCAAUCUCAAAUUUAUUGAAAAUAAGAAUUAUUUUUUGUUCUUUAAUAAGAAAAAUGAACAAACUUUGGCAAAAAAAUACCAUCUGUCGUGGAAAUUAUAAAAUUCAUUUAAAAAAUAAUAAUUUCUGGGAUAAAUAUUUUUCAAAUAUUUUAAAAUAAUACAUAGGUAGACCGUGAACAAAUUUCUCACCCCAAUAGAACAUAUUAGAAAAAAAGGCAUGAACCAAAAUAAUAUUAUUUAUUGUGGCUAAGAGGAUCCAGUUGUAAACAUUAUACUAACGUGUAAAAAAUAAAAAUAAAAAUCAAAUGAAGUUAAAAAAUUAAUGGAAAUAGAAUCAAUUAAUAGCUGCGGAGCAAAAUAUUAGUAAAUGUUGUUUGAAGAAUUUUGUGAAUAGUGACGCCGAAAUAAGUAUAAUGAUGGUGACAAAGCCGAGGCAAGAGUUGGACUCUUUGUCCUUAAGUCGAAUUUGCCCCGCAACGGUGCCUACGGAUUUCGGCAAUCGACUCCCAAGAUACAACGGCUACACUUGUGUUUGUAGCACUCCAAAACACAAGUACAACGAACCAAAUGUAGGCUUAUGUACUCCACAGAUGAAAUGAAAGAAAAUCAAAAUAAAUGAAAUAAUUUUAAUUUUGGAUAGAAGAGAGGAUGAGAGACGUUUUUGCAUAUCAAAUUGUGAGGAAUAGGACACCCAAAGGGUCCUAUUUAUAGACCAUGAAGGGGUGUGGACGAAAUGGUUGAGGCCAAACCAUGCACCCUUUCCAAACAAUGCACCUUUAUGAAAAGGUGUCUAUUCACUAAUGGUUGAGGUCUUUUUCGUAAUUUCUCAUUCAUCCGAUAUUGGUUUUCGAAAUGCCAAAUAUACCCUUCAAUACAUACAGGUCGAUCCCCGUUUGUGCGCCCCGAAGCGGCGAAGUGGCAAACAAUUUUGCCUAAACGGAUUGAGUCGAGCUUUUGAGUAUUUGGCCGAAUUCGAUACGAACUUUAAUCGAUUUUCAAUUCUCAAUUUAUUUAACCAAUAUCCAUCAAAUGUUUGUUGUAAAAUUUCUGAAAUGAUUUUGUGAGUAACUUUGGCAGCAUUUAGUAAGAAAGGACUAGAUUUUCACAUCAGGAUAAUAACGAACUUGCCACAACCUCUACCAUCCUUUCCCUCUUCAAAAUUUUCGUGGAUCAUCAUGGUAUUAUCAAGUUAAUCCAGACCAUUACCCAAAAAAUCUUGGAGGUCUGAUAUUAAUCAAAAUCUCGCAUUCUUCACGCUUGCCUCUUCAAAAUGAUGUUUGCCCGGGACAUUUUGUUAUGAGAUAGAUAUGUUGUUUACUUUUGGUUUUCUUUUAGCAGAGACUCUCAAUGCAACGUUGAGAUUAAUGACAUACAUCAAUAACUAUUGCGCUUUGUAGGCUUUAAUUUUCUCCUUCAGUAUAUAUCAUAUGACAUGACUCGAUGUUGAAUAGAGAAGCCUAGUUAUCUGCACAUGGUGAUUCUAUUUCUUUUAAGUUGACUGCUUUAGAUGUACAAAGAUGACAUGCUUUUGUCAUGCUACAGUUCAAAUCUUGUUCAUUGUGACGUUGACUGUUUAUCGCUGCACUCUAACCAUGCAGUUAAGGCGUUAUGUAUGCCUAAGUCGUAGUAUGACUUGGUUUCACUCUGUUGGGUUGUUCUCUUUUUCUCAAAGGAUUAAGGAAAGCAAUAUCAACUGUAUGAAUUAGUAUUCUUGGAUCGGAGAAGGUUGUGAUAUGUGCUAAUUAUUGGAUAACGAAUACAUUAUUAUUAUUAUUAUUUUCAGGUAGUCUAUGAUGCAUUUUGAUUCAGGUUGCUUCUGCAUCGAUGCUGUUGCAGAACGACAAAGAUAACAUACCAAUCACUUUUCAAAUUUUUGUUAUUCAGAUGGUAUAAGGUUGUGAGUAAAAAUAUCCCGAUCAAUUGGCAAUGAUCUUGAGUUGCCUCUUGCCUGAGGUGGAGGAGAAGACCAGCAUCAGCGGAGUAACGUUUAUGAUUUAUAGUCAGUCUCUCUGAAUUGCACUUUACCGUGUAACUUGAGACUAUUUUUUAUGUUGCGCCUUAAUUUAAGGUUAGUUUAGAUUAGACGUUUCAACAAAUUGCUCCAAAAAGUAAGUUUGAUUUAUUUUUUUAUUAUUAUUUUUUAUUUUUUUCAAUUAACAAUCUUACACUGCGAUUUGUCUUUGGAUCUCUACUUUAUUAAUUGAUUUGGGCAUCUCAAAAGGACAAUUCCAAUAUGCUGACGGGCUCUUUGUCUCUACUCAAAUUCUAGCACAGCCAUAAAAUAUUUCUUCAGAUUGUAACUUCGAAAGAAUACUUUAUAUACAUCAAUUAAAUACUUGGUAUGAUACAACUUAUUCAGGACAAGUCAGAUAUAACUUUUUUGUAAUAUUAGUUGUUCUUUCUGUAAUAGCCUUUAGCUGCAAGCCGGCAGGGGAUAAAGUCAUAAAACUGGUAAGUAUCUUCUGUGAACUCUAUAUAAAGCUCUAUUUGUUGCAUGAGUUUUACUUCACUACCAAACUUUACUUUUAAACAUGUCUAAGGCUAAAAUGCUUGCAGUUUUCAUAGGUUUUGUUCUUUUGGGCUACCUUAGCGACCCUUUGGCUCAUGCUUCAAAUGUUGAUGAGCCAAAUGCUUUGUCGACCUCCAUCCCGAGUACCCAAGGGGAUGUUCACGUCCCAUUAGAAGAACCACUUGGUGGAUUGCCUCAUAGAAGAUUGUUGGAAUGUUGUGGAUGUCACGGCAGAUCUUGUCAAUUUUGCUGCAAGACAAAGAAUUGAACGUGGGAUCUUAAUAUCGUUUUUCGCAAUUGGUAUUGUGUUUUCAUCCUGUCAAAUGUUGUGUUGGCUAAAAUAAUGUAUCAAUGAACUUUGAUACCGUAGUGUCACCUACACGUUCCUUUUAUGCAUCAACUCGUGUAAUCUCAGUUUUCUGUUAUGUGUGCCAUCUAAGGAAUAUAAAAUAUUUUCUCAUGAUCAUUGGAUUUUUCAGAAAUUUUCGGGUAAGCAAUCCUUCCUUUUUGAAAAUCUAUAACUAUAAAAUUAAUGCUCACUUUGGGCGUCUUUAUAAAUGUAAGCAAUCUUGUAUUGAUAAAUGUUUUUAUUAAUAGCAUGUACAAGAUGUAAGAUGCAUCACCAAAGUAUGCUACAAAAUUCUUUUGAAAAUAUAUAAUAUAAUUAACUCUUAAUAGGAAAAUUUGUUUUUCCCAUUUUCAUUUAAAAAACGUUUUUAAAAGGAAAGGAAUAGUUAAUUGAAACAAUUUAAUAUCUUGCAAUCGAGUCUUCAAUUGUGACUGUGUCAAUUGAUUGAUGAUUUAUAAAAUAAGAAAAAAAUUAAUUUAUUUUAAUAGUUAGUCAUGUUUAAGUGAUGAAAUAAUAUGACACACAUACAAGCACAACCAUCGUGCUCUAGCUAGUAAACAUGGACAGACCGUUUGCAUCGAGCAACAAUAUCAUGUGUAGGUGGUUACAGUGGCGAAUCCAGGAAUUUGAGUCAGCACGGGCGGCCGUCGACCGUCGACUGCAAUAAAAUAUUAAGAACUCGUUUGAUGUACUUUUUUUUGUUGCAAAAAAUGCAUUUUGGAAUAGUUAUUUGAUAAAAAAUAAGUGGUUAAAAAUAAGAAAAAAAUUUGAAUUUACAUGUAAUAUUAUUUUAUUAAAAAAUGUAUGGUUGAAAAUAAGAGAGAAAAAUGUAUUCUAAAAUAAAUGGGAAUUAAAUAAGGCAUAAAAUUUAAAUAUGACAAUUAUUUUGUUGAAAUUGAACAUAUAUAAUUUUGUUAUAAAAAUAAACCGUACUCACCAAAUGACAUUGUUACCAAAUUUUAUAUAAUUCAAAGGAAGAGGACGGGUUCAAUUACAAUUGCAUUAAACCCGCUAUAAUUAACAUAUAUAAAUUUGUUAAAUUUAAUAUCACAAAUCAAUCAGUGCCAUAGUGGUCAAUCUCUUAACAAUUAUAAGAAGCUAUCCAGGUUCGAAUCCCCUCAUACCCAUUCCAUCAAUUUUUGGUAAAAAUUGUAGGAGCAAAAAAAUCAUGCAAAAUUCGUUGUAAAGGGAAUCGAACCCGGGACUUGCAAGAAGAAAAUGCCGCCCCUACCCAACUUGGCUGAGAGGAGUUUUUGAAUUAAAAGUUAAUAUCAGUAAUAUAACCUAAAAAAUGUAUAUGUUCUCCAAAAAAAAAAGAGUUGCCGGCGGAUUCAGCACGCGCGGCCGCGGGUGCUGGCCGGGUGCUGGAUCCGCCACUGGGUGGUUAGCAAUGAUACCAGCAAAAGUCGAAAAUAAUCAUUAAAAUAAACACACAUUCUAUUUUGAUAUCCUAUGAAGUCAUUUAACAGAUUUUUUAUGGGAAAAUAUACCACUGGGAUCUUCAACUUAUUUUUCAAACAGCAAGUUAGUCAUGAAUCUUUACAAAGAAGCACGUCCCAACUUUUAACUUAUAAUGUACAAUAAUUUAAAUUUACAUCUUGAGGACAUGAAAGCAUGUUUCAAUUCAAAUUUUUAAUAGUUAUGAGAAAAAUCCAACUUCAUAAAGGGCAAUGAUCCAUUAUCAGAGACAUUUCAUCAACUCAACGUUAGCUUAUUUUGGACCUACAUGGCUGAUUAAGUCCUGGCAAUCUUGUUGUUAUUGUUUAUUAACUUAAUCAAAAUUGAAUUCUAUGAAACCUCUACUUGCGACAAGUCACGUAGCAGUUAGUUAAGCAAAAAGUAAAAGUAAGAGGAUAUUUAAGGUCACUCUGCUUUGGUAUUGGCUCUUCUAUAUGUGCCUACCGAGGUCAUGCCCUUAGACGUCUCUCCAAAUUGCUAUCAUCCAAGGGGACGCAUCGCACAUCUGUUGUAGUAAUUUCUGAGGCAAUUGGCGAGGCUUUUUCCAUGAAGGCCUCGGCCAUAGUCAUUGCCUCAUUCAAGUUAUUGUACAUUAGAUUGACUGAUUGAUGUAACAACUUUGUAGUUGCAAGGCUCAUAGAGUUUUUAGAAAACAUUUCAAAUUAUACACGGUAGGAUUGCUACAGGACUAUGACAUCUAUGGAUUGACACAACUGAUAAGAUUUGGCUUGACAGAUGAGACAUUAAGAUGCAGUCACAUGACAAGCAUUCCAAGAAUCUCUUAUUUAUAAUUAAUAACACCUAGUGACAUUCAAAUAUAAUUGAUCAUUGCCCAACAAAAACUCUAUUAAGUGACUAUAAACCCAACACCAGCAUGUAUUACGUCCAUUAUAUCCAUUCCACUUGAGCAUUGGACUGUCGUUAAUGUAUCACUUCUUAUUGAUGCUUUGGUCAAAUAUAGUUUGACUUUGAUGUCCAACUGUGCAGUAACAUACAUGUGGAUGUGAAGAAGAGAUGGAUCUCUUGAUAACUAGAUCCAGGGCAGACGCAGAAUUUUUUAAUUAGAGGGUACAAAUAAACUUUGUACAAAUCGAAUACUUUGUUAUUGAUUUUUGAAUGAUUUAUAUUUGAUCCGAGAAGAUGCAAUUUUAUAUUUAAAAAACAUAUCUUCAUUAAUAUUUUGCUCAUAAUUUUUGUCCAUUUGAUUUCAAACAAUUAUUUUAUGAAUAUUUUACUCAUCACAAGAAAAUUCAUAUUUAUGUUUAAAAAAUUUAUAGUGUAUUUAAUACUUUAAUCAAUUCAGGUGAAUGAAAGGAAAAACAUAUAACCAAUAUUCAAUCAAAUAAAUAAAAUUCGUUAAAUAUAAGUUAAAUUAUAUAUAAUCAGUUCAAACACAUUCUACAUACACAAAUAAGAUAGGAAAAAAAUGCAAAUUUAGAUUUUAAUUAAUUGAAAAUUUGAUUGAAAAGUAAAAAUUUGUAGUAAAUGUGAUAAUUUGUAGAAAAAUUUUAAACAAAUUUUAAAAAAUUAGAAAAGUUAAGGUUUUGGUAAAUUGUGUGAAGGAGAAUAAAAGAGUAAGAAAAAAAAUUUUGAAAUUUAUUGUGAUUUUGCCCCUGUUUGGUGAGGAUUAAAAUCAAUUUUUUAGUAAAUUUUAAUAAAAUUAAAAAGUUAAGGAUUUUAUGAAAAUAUGUUAUUAAAAUUGUUUAUUAACUUUGAUUUAGAUUAAAAUUUAGAUUUCAGUUGAUACCAAACAUGACUUAUCAAAAAAAAAAUAUAUAUAUAUAUAUAUAUAUAUAUAUAUAAUAAUAAUAAUAAUCUCAAAAUUUUGGGGGUCACUUGACCUUGCAUGACGCCCCUUGGGUCUGCCCCUGGCUGGACCACAUAAUAACCACGAGAAAUCCCAUGAGUAAAAGUUUACCUUCUUUUUUUUUUCUUUUUUUAUCACGAGUGAAUUUUUUUUAAGAGGAAAAAUUAAAUGCUAUGUAGUUUCACUGAAUUUAUAACCCACAUCUAGAUGGUACUAGAUGAUAUGUUGAAUGAAAAGUAAAAUUAAAUAAUUUAUAUAAUUCCACAUAUUAUUUAGUGUCACAUUAACGCUACUAGACUGGCGGUGAAGUUAAAUAGCAUUACUCUUUUAAGAGAAAAUCUGCCUUUAAAGAAAAGGUGGAUAUUUUGAUAAAAAAUUAAGUGAUUUUUUUUUGGAAAAGUGACGAAUCCACGAAGGGCACCAAGAGAAACUUUUGAAAAUGAGGCUUUGGCUGCCGAAUAUGUUCAACAUCGACAACUACAUCACCGACAAAAGGUAUAGCUAUACGCGCCUCACCAAGGAGGUGGCAAUUAUGAAAGUCAACAUGAGGAACCUGAUUCAACAGAAUGUUGUCAAGCAAUUCCUUCUCUGACAAAUUCAAGCAUAAAGGGAAAGGCAAAAUGCCCCUAAAUGUGCAACACCAAGGCUUCUUUGAACUCCACUGCUAAAGCUAAAGGAAAAGUCAACAACAAAAAUGAAGAAGUGUAGAGUGGCAAUCCACAUAAUAUGAAGGAGAGAGGUUAGCCCCUUGAAAGAGAGGUGAAAGUAGACAUCACGAUACCUAUUCUAUAGCCUCCCCUGCCAUGGACCAGCUAAAUGAGGAAACCUUUCUCUUGUUUAUGAGUAAGAGAUGAGCUCCUCGAAGCCCGCCAACUUCUUUGGCAAGAUGGGAGGAGCGACGCUCAGAAAGCAAAUUAUCAGUAUCCAACUCAACCACCUCGACAAAGGCCUGGUGAGGUCGAGCCAUCCAGGUCGGCCAAGCGAGACGAUGAUAAUUACAAUCUUUAUUUUUCUGAGGAUAUUAAAGAAUAGCCUUUCGGGUUGGGCCCUAUCUCAUAAUCUUAGAGGAGCCUCCCAUGUUUUGAAGUAUAUAGCCUUCUACUUAACCCUAGCUGGAGGGACGAAGAAAUGGUAUAAUAAGAUCUGCAACUAACAAAGAAAUUUUUGCCAGUUUGGAAGACGGUAAGUGAGAAUGUAAAAAUGUUGUGAAAUUUGACAUAAAAUUAAAGUUCAGUGACCGAAUCGCAAUUUCACUGAAUGUUCUAUGACCCAUGACAAAAUUUAUGCAAAUCAAAUAGAAAACUAUGUGAAUAUAACAAAUUCAAGACUCCUAAAAAUUUCUCAGUGGUGAUUAUAUUAAGGAGAAAUGAUUUAAUGCUCAUCGCUACUCUCUUAUAGUAAGCAUCGGUGAUAUUGCAUAUUAAUUUAUUUGUGGAAGCAUUCAUGGCUAGUCUCAAUAUUUGAAUUAAAAUUGUUAUCUAUCAAUGAAUUAAUAUAUCAUGUCAUCAUUACUUAGUAUAAGACAAGCAGCGUUGCUCAAUAGACUACUUCUAUACGAAUAAGAGUUCAUGCAAAAGAGAGGACAGACUAAAAACUGAAUUAGUAGAAUAUAUUUUAGGACAAUUCAAACAAAAGAUAGUGUAAUAUAAGUUGUUCUUUCUAUAACAGCUAGGUCGUCACCAUAUAAAACUGGCAUGUCUAUAUAAAUCCCUAUUUAAUGCAUGAGUUUGACCCCAAUACCAAAUUUUAGACCUAUCGACUAAGACAAUAGUGACAACAUUUUCUGCAAUUUUCAAGGGGUUUGCACUUUGCUGCUACCUUAUUAGCAACCCUUUAUCCCAUGAAGUUUCAAAUUUUGAUGAGCCAAAUAGACAAUAUUCAAAUGAAUAUGCUUUGCUAAAAUAAUCCCAUCAAUGAUAUGCCAAGGCAUCAUACUAAACCCAUGUUUGGUGUAGUUAAAAAUCAAAAUUUUAUUAUAUUUUAUUAAUAUUUGAUGAAAUAUAUGAUUAAAAAAUUGAUAAAAGUUGUUGAUCUUAUAACAUAUGUGAUUGAUAAUGAAUUUGAUAAAAAACGAGUUUUAGAAAAUGAGAGCCAAACAGGGAUUAAAUUGUCACAUAGUCGAUCGGCCUUGAAGCGCCAUUAUGUAAUCCAAUAAGAAAGAGCAAAGAAUAUUGGAAGUGCAAUGAUAGAGGGCCCUUAUCCAUUAUAGUAUGAUUCAAAUCUACUUGUUUUGGAUAGACGUAAUUGACUUGGGGCUCGUUGAAGUGGCUGUUACUUUUGUAGUAGAGUUUCAUGAGGAAACUACCUUAAAUAUUUUCUUGUGAAACAUAUUUUUCAAAUAUUUUAAAUAAUACAUAGAUCAUAUGAACAAAUUUCUCAUCUCAAUAGAACAUAUUAUAAAAAAGUCAUGAACUAAAAAAAAUAUUAUUUAUUGUGGCUAAGGGGACCUACUUGUAAACAUUCUACUCGUGUCCCAAAAAAAAAAAAAAAGAGGAAUUUAAAUAACGCUGCAAAUUUAAUGGAAAUAGAAUUAUUUUACAGUCGUGGAAAAAUAUUAAGAAAUAUUUAUUAUAAUAUUUCUGAACAAAUAUUUCUGAAAUGAUUUUGCAAGUAAUCUUGGCAGCAUUUAGUAGGAAGGACUAGAUUUUCACAUCAGGAUAAUACCUUGCCACUACCUGUACCAUCCUUUCCCUCUUCAAAAGUUUGUGGAUCAUCAUGGUCUCGGCAAGUUAAUCAAGACCCUCAAUUUAAUGGUAUAGAUUCUGGGAGGUACUGUAUGUUUUGGAUAUUCCCCUAUGGCUCUGAUAGAAUGUGGAUAAAUUACUUUCCGAUUUUCCAUUUGCAGAAAAAUUAUUCUAAGUGUAGUCGUGCACACUUUCUUUGUAUCAUCUUUACUUUAAAGAAGCACAUUUCAACAAUCAUAAAAUUUCAUUUCCACGCCUCUCUUUAUGAUGUCAAAAACUUUUCGUUUUAAUAGCUGCAAGAUUUCCCCCGUCUCCUUCAACAGAGAUAGAGGUGAAGUUUCUGCUGUAGCAGACAAUGCCUUGUUGAGAUCAAUGAUCUAAAUCAACAAACAACAAUUGCACUUUGCAGCUUGUAAUUUUCUACUUCAGUUUACUUUAUAUGACUUCAGAACUUGAGAGGCUAUUUUCAAUGUUACACCAGAAGUCUUACCGGUUAGUUUAGAUGAGGCGUUUCAACAAAUUUCUCCAAAAAUAAAAGUUCCAUUUGUUUUUCUGAGAAUCCCAGAAUGUGAUUUGUCUUUGACCUCUAGUUUAUUAAUUGAUUUUGGCAUCUCAGAUGGACAAUUCCAAUAUGCUGAUUGGUUCUUUGUCUCUACUCAAGUUCUUGCACACCCAUAAAAUAUUUCUUAAGAUCAUAACUUGAGAAGAAUACUAUAUAGGUUUUAAAAUAAAAGCUUGGUAUAAAACAACUUAUUAUUUAGGACAAAUCAAAUAUAACCUUUUUGUAAUAUAAGUUGUUGUUUCUGUAAUAACCUUUAUCUGCAGGCCGGCAGGGGAUAAAACUGGUUAUGUGCUGCAAACUCUAUAUAAAGCUCUACCUGUUGCAUGAGUUUUACUUCACUACCAAACUUUAAUUUUAAACAUGUCUAAGGCUAAAAUGUUUGCAGUUUUCAUGGGUUUUGUUCUUUUGGGCUACAUUAGCAAACCUUUGGCUCAUGCUUCAAAUGUUGAUGAGCCAAAUGCUUUGUCAACCUCCACCCCAAGUACCCAAGGGGCUGUUCACAUCCCAUUCGAAGAACCACUUGGUGGAUUGCCACAUAGAAGAUUGUUGGAAUGUUGUGGAUGUCAGGGCAGAUCUUGUCAACUUUGCUGCAAGACAAAGAAUUGAAACGUGUG